GAAUGUAAUUUAUUUUGUAAUAUUCAUAUAUUUGCUUGUGAAUAAAUGCAAUACUAAUAUUUAUCAGAGCAAUACAAAUAAAUGGAAAAAAAGUAGAAAAAUGUGUUUUUGUGUCCCAAAAACAGUUUUUCAUUGCUGUUGGUGUUAUUUUUGUUAGCUGACUGAGCCUCAAAGGUAAAUUUUUGCACAUUUUUAUUUUCUCUGUCAUGUAAAAAAGUACAUAUGUUCUUGGAAAAAUGAAUAUUAACAUGGAAUCAAACACAUGAUGUUUUUUUGUCUAUCUAAUAUGAUGCAUUCAAGUAUAGUGCUUUGACAUGACAUAAUUAACCAUAAUACAUAAAACUAACUAAUAACAUUAAAUUCAGAGCCCAAACAGAAUAAAAUGAUAAUUUUGUGAAGAGAUGAGCUGCUUUUGUUUAAUCAGCUUUAAGCAUUUAGUAUAUAUGCUUUCCAGUAAAUAUGACAGAGCCUUUGUCAUGUAUAUGAGUAUGUGUGUGUGUGUGUGUGUGUGUGUGUGUGUGUGUGUGUGUGUGUGUAUGUGUGUGUGUGUGUGUGUGCUGAACACGAGCUGUUAUCUGAUACCUGAACAGACUGCUGUGGGGAGCAUGUCCACUGACUGUGUGAGGUCACUCUCAGACAAAGCUGAACACACACUCACCAUGCACGAACAUCUCUCAGAUGGGAACACUGAAAUGGACAAUCAGAAGCACAGCUCCAAGGAACAUCAGCAGGACAAAUUGGGACAGAAGAAACCCCGCAGGAAAGACACUCCCGUACUCAACAGCCCUCCACUCAUACCAGGCGUGAGACUGAUAAAGACAGAGGCUCGAAUGAUUCAUCAGGAGGAUGAGGAGAAGGAGAUGAAGAAGUAGAUGUGUUUCAAACAUUUGGUUUUCAGUGUUGUUAGUGCUAAUUUUGAUUGUCGUCUGAGCCUUCAUUAAAUGUAGGUUUUGCAGCUAUUUUUUUGCAUUAUCAUUUCGUCACUUGAGUAUUACAUUGUAUAAACAACUUGGAAUGAAUACAUGGACAGGUGUUUCAGUGUGUGAUUAACCCAUUUAAUCCCACCAUUCACAACAGUGACCGUAAAGAAGGUUUUCAUUUAUAAAGCUCUAAAAAUUUUACUGACUGAUGUUUUAGUGCAUUUUCUAGUGCAUUAGUGUAUUCCUAUGAGUGUUGUAUAAGCGAUUUUAUGCGUAAUAGUACCCUACAAUGAGAUGAAACUGAGUUUAAAAUAGCUGGGCUGAGAUAUAUAAAAUUUUUGAUGACUGCAGAAAUAUGUGAAUUCAGUUACACAUUGUCCCACCGGUCACAAUUGUGACUGACCAUAAAACAGAAUUUUCACACACUUUUCCAAAAAAAAAAAAAAAAAAAGAAUUAUUGAUUUCAAAGGGUUGCUAAUGACACUUCAAAAAUUUGGGAUUAAACGGGUUAAGUAUGAACAGCAGAUUACAUUAACUGGGUAAAUCUCAAGAAACCUGUCAAGAACAUGUCCAUGUCAUAUUUCACCCCAAAAUCAAAAGAAAAUGUUAAUUACAG
ensembl:lncRNA